UCCAGACUCCUACGGGAGGCAGCAGUGGGGAAUAUUGCACAAUGGGGGAAACCCUGAUGCAGCGACGCCGCGUGAGCGAUGAAGUAUUUCGGUAUGUAAAGCUCUAUCAGCAGGGAAGAAAAUGACGGUACCUGACUAAGAAGCCCCGGCUAACUACGUGCCAGCAGCCGCGGUAAUACGUAGGUGGCAAGCGUUAUCCGGAUUUACUGGGUGUAAAGGGCGAGUAGGCGGGAUUGCAAGUCAGAUGCGAAAACUAUGGGCUCAACCGAUAGAGUGCAUUUGAAACUGCAGUUCUUGAGUGAUGGAGAGGCAGGCGGAAUUCCUAGUGUAGCGGUGAAAUGCGUAGAUAUUAGGAGGAACACCAGUGGCGAAGGCGGCCUGCUGGACGACAACUGACGGUGAGGCGCGAAAGCGUGGGGAGCAAACAGGAUUAGAUACCCGCGUA
rnacentral:rRNA from 1 species